rnacentral:lncRNA from 1 species
CAGAGCUGGGGACAGAUAGGCAGGGACAGGGAGUCUCAGCACAGCAGCCAUGAUGGAACAAAGGCUUCUCCUUAGCACAGCAGCCAUGAUGGAACAAAGGCUUCUCCUUAGCACAGCAGCCAUGAUGGAACAAAGGUUUCUCCUUAGCACAUCAGCCAUGAUGGAACAAGAAGGCUUCUCCUUAGCACAGCAGCCAUUAUGGAACAAGAAGGCUUCUCCUUAGCACAGCAGCCAUUAUGGAACAAGAAGGCUUCUCCUUAGCACAGCAGACAUGAUGGAACAAGAAGGCUUCUCCUUAGCACAGCAGACAUGAUGGAACAAGAAGGCUUCUCCUUAGCACAGCAGCCAUGUUUGAACAAGAAGGUUUCUCAGCACAGCAGCCAUGAUGGAACAAGAAGGCUUCUCCUUAGCACAGCAGCCAUGUUUGAACAAGAAGGUUUCUCCUUAGCACAGCAGCCAUGAUGGAACAAAGGCUUCUCCUUAGCACAGCAGCCAUGAUGGAACAAGAAGGCUUCUCCUUAGCACAGCAGCCAUGAUGGAACAAAGGCUUCUCCUUAGCACAGCAGCCAUGAUGGAACAAGAAGGCUUCUCCUUAGCACAGCAGCCAUGAUGGAACAAGAAGGCUUCUCCUUAGCACAGCAGCCAUGAUGGAACAAGAAGGUUUCUCCUUAUCACAGCAGCCAUGAUGGAACAAGAAGGCUUCUCCUUAGCACAGCCGCCAUGUUUGAACAAGACGGUUUCUCAGCACAGCAGCCAUGAUGGAACAAGAAGGCUUCUCCUUAGCACAGCAGCCAUGAUGGAGAAUCAAUCUAAAAGUCAGACUUGAUGUCAGGCCCGCCUGACUUGUUUAAUCACUAGGAGUGGUCGCGGUAGACAGACUUUGAUUACAACCAUCUCCCUGAUCAAUAAAAUCCUUGAACUUGCAUUAAAGUCACUGCCUCACUGCUGGCUGCUCACGGCAAUAUUCCUGAUAGCACAGGUUUUUCAUCUCAAAUUGCACCCUAAUUCCUUAUACAGUGCACUACUUUUUUUGACCAGAGCCCUGUGUGCCCUGGCCACACGUACUUCACGAUAACGGGAAUAGAGUACAAAUUUGGGCCCUCCGGGUCCAAUGAUUUACUCACAGGAGAGACAGGACCUUAGAACCCCAUCGGUUGCAGGCCGGGCACAGUCACCUACCUGAGCUGAGUGAUUUCACCCGGCAGAUAACAGCAGCUGUUUACCCCUUGUUUUAAGGGCAAAUCUAAGAUUGGAG